ensembl:lncRNA
UCACCUGAGUGACCGGAAGGGGUGGAUCCUGGCUGCACCCCUCCUAGGCCCCAUUUAAGGGCUGACUCCCAAGGAGGAUGGGUCUCUAUCUGGAGAUCACUCCUCUUGGAGCCCUUCUGUGAGCCCAGGACACAGGUUUCGUGUUUAUAGAACGAAGAAGGACAUCUUGUAAAGGCGCCUUUUCAUGUGCGGAGAGACCAUAAAAAUAUCAAGACCCCAGAAUGUUAAAGAGAAUCAGGAAUGCACAUGGAAAAUGCUACACUAAUCACUGAAUUUCUGCUCCCAAAGACCUCUGUUUACUGAGCUGCAGCCAGCCCUGAUGAGCUUGGAGUAUGCCAGCAAAAGUGUGCAUAUCAGAAAGCUGCUGUGGAGUACAUGUUGUGAAGUGUAUGGGAACUGUUGAAUCACGGCCUGAACCUCUGAUUGACCACCUGAGGACAAACCUAGAGGUUUCAUCCCAAAAGAACAAACUUCUAGCAAAAGGCAUGGAUUAAGGAAAAAAGCUCAGGUUGGCCAGAAAUGGUGGAAGAAAGUCAAGAACAUUAAGAUAAAACAUAAGGCAAAGAAGAGAGUGAAUCUGCCUUCUGUAGCCCUGUACUCCCACUCCAGUCAGUUUCUACAUCAACUGAUAGGUGGGGAAGAGGACAUAACAGAACGAAAGCCAAGAAGAAAAUUGCAGCAAAGGGAUGGAGGAGUGCUGCUUAACCGUCUGUCUCCUGAAGUCUUCAGAUGUUGGCUAAGAUUUCCUCUGCUGGAUGUGUAUGUCAGACUUCUACAAAAUCAACCCCCGCUCAACUACUCUGAGCUGGUAGGCAUCCUAAGUAAUGCUGUUGAAUAAACUGAAGUAAUUUGGGAUACAAUUUGGCAUAAGAGAUCACAAUUACUCUCCUGAGAUUAUUCCAGCAUUACAUCCACUUAUGAAACUACAAAAGAAAUCUGUCCACUGUUCCCAGGGCAGAGUGAAGAAAAUGGGCACCAAUUUAGACUGUCUCUGCCAGGAAACAUAUAAUAAUGCUGUCGUUUCUAAGAAAACUCUGCAGCAGCAGGCUCAGACAGCUACGAAGUAGAGCACAUGCAUGGAUUUGUCAUCCUGCCUUACUCUUAAACAACAUUAGCUUCUUUGUCAAUUGUGAGAAAGUGAGGGAAAACCCCUUGGAGGUGUGCCACACAUUUAUUUGUUCCUGAGCUCUUAUAGCAAUGUUGGCUACAACACAAUCCUUUUUUUAGAAAAGAAAGGUGAUCAUCUGUGCAACUUGUUCUGAAAAGUCAACAGACGUGGCAAGAAAAUGCAUUUCUCAAACACAUGUUGACUUGUGACAUCCAAGGACAGGAUGCUUGUGACCGCACAUAUCCGAUGUUCAUGGCAGAUCAUGAGUGCUGCUGCCUGUCCCUUUCAGC